rnacentral:rRNA from 1 species
ACUGAGACACGGCCCAGACUCCUACGGGAGGCAGCAGUGGGGAAUUUUCCGCAAUGGGCGCAAGCCUGACGGAGCAACGCCGCGUGUGGGAUGAAGGCCUGUGGGUUGUAAACCACUUUUCUCAGGGACGAACACAAUGACGGUACCUGAGGAAUCAGCCUCGGCUAACUCUGUGCCAGCAGCCGCGGUAAGACAGAGGAGGCAAGCGUUAUCCGGAAUUAUUGGGCGUAAAGCGUCCGUAGGUGGUCUAGCAAGUCUGGGGUUAAAGCCCGGAGCCCAACUCCGGAUCGGCCUUGGAAACUGCCAGACUCGAGUAAGGUAGGGGUUGCGGGAAUUCCCGGCGUAGCGGUAAAAUGCGUAGAUAUCGGGAAGAACACCAGCGGCGAAAGCGCGCAACUGGGCCAUUACUGACACUGAGGGACGAAAGCUAGGGGAGCGAAUGGGAUUAGAUACCCCAGUAGUCCUAGCCGUAAACGAUGGUGACUAGAUGUGGCUCGUAUUGACCCGAGCCGUGUCGUAGCUAACGCGAUAAGUCACCCGCCUGGGGAGUACGCACGCAAGUGUGAAACUCAAAGGAAUUGACGGGGGCCCGCACAAGCGGUGGAGCAUGUGGAUUAAUUCGAUGCAACGCGAAGAACCUUACCAGGGCUUGACAUCCUGCGAACCCCGCUGAAAGGUGGGGGUGCCUUCGGGAGCGCAGAGACAGGUGGUGCAUGGCUGUCGUCAGCUCGUGUCGUGAGAUGUUGGGUUAAGUCCCGCAACGAGCGCAACCCGCGUCCUUAGUUGCCAGCAUUUAGUUGGGCACUCUGGGGAGACUGCCGGUGACAAGCCGGAGGAAGGUGCGGAUGACGUCAAGUCAGCAUGCCCCUUACGCCCUGGGCGUCACACGUGCUACAAUGGCCAGCACAAAGGGUAGC